rnacentral:rRNA from 1 species
UACGUAGGUGGCAAGCGUUAUCCGGAAUUACUGGGCGUAAAGCGCACGCAGGCGGUCUUUUAAGUUUGACGUGAAAGCUCCCGGCUUAACUGGGAGAGGUCGUUGAAUACUGGAAGACUUGAGGCAAUGAGAGGGGUGUAGAAUUCCCGGUGUAGUGGUGGAAUGCGUAGAUAUCGGGGGGAAUACCAGUGGCGAAAGCGGCUCCCUAGCGUGAGCCUGACGCUCAUGUGCGAAAGCGUGGGGAGCGAACGGG